UACAGAGGUCUCAAGCGUUGUUCGGAUUCAUUGGGCGUAAAGGGUGUGUAGGUGGCGCGCUAAGUCGGGUGUGAAAUUUCGGAGCUUAACUCCGAAACUGCAUUCGAUACUGGCGUGCUUGAGGACUGGAGAGGAGACUGGAAUUUACGGUGUAGCAGUGAAAUGCGUAGAUAUCGUAAGGAAGACCAGUGGCGAAGGCGGGUCUCUGGUCCAUGUCUGACGCUGAGGUGCGAAAGCCAGGGGAGCAAACGGG
rnacentral:rRNA from 1 species